GGCCUCAUAGAGAAGAUUAGUUUGAUCCACAUGAAUGAAUUCAGACAUAUGCUUGUCUAUUAUGAGUUUAAUCAUAGGCC
rnacentral:snoRNA from 1 species